rnacentral:lncRNA from 1 species
UGUUAAUGGUUGGAUUUGAUGAUCUUAAAGGUAUUUUCCAAUCUCAAUUAUUCUAUUCCAUGAAUUCCAAGAGGGUUAAUUGCCACACACCAAAUUUCAUGACUUCAUAACAAAAAAUACUUCUUGCCAAUAAAAGCCAAAAUCAUUUGGCAUCUAAGAUAGCUGAAAUUUAUGACUGAAUAUUAUAUGUUGAAAAUGUCAGUAAGAAUGAGGACAGCCUGUAAUUAUAGACUGUAGAGGAGCACAUUACAGCAAGAUGUCUGACCUACAAAACAGGGAGAGGAUCCACACAACUAGCAAAUUCCAUUUAGCAGGGUUUUUGGUUGAUUAGUUGCUUGCUUUGUAAACUAAAGAUUGUCUCUUUAGAUUGUAGGAGCAUGUGAUAAAGCCUUCUGAAAAUACAUCAUUUCAAGAUGCAGAUAAGUUCUUCUACUCAGUUAUGUAUAUUUUCUCUGUCAUCUAUCUUCCCCCUUUCUUUUCAGUCUCUUCUGCAUCUACUCUAAUUUCUAAUUAGGGGCUGCAAUUGCUUCUUAAUCUUCAAAAACUGGAAAAAGUACUCCUAAACAAAAUGCACUUUUGGAUUUACCUCAAAAGUCCAAGCCUAAUUUAGUGGAACCUAGCAUCCUUUCUUUCAUCUCCUUGAAGAUACUGAUCUCUACAAUGAUUCACCCUGACCAGAUGAGGUGGUGAAGCAAAGAAGCCGCUUUGUUCAGCUGGGUUCCUCACAAGUGAUGUCCAGGACAGGUGAUGGACAUCAUCCAUACAGCCAUUGAAGAAGUCAGGCUUUGUAGAGCUGCUGCCUACUAUGACCAGCCACAAGUGCUUCCUGGUGGAAGGCCAAGAGGACUCACACUUAGCUUGGAGGGAAAAAAUAAGCCUGUUACUUCUUGAUAGCUGACAUAAUGCAAUGAAGAUGAAUAUGACUCUACCAGUGGAAUGACUGGGAAAGGGGAGAGACUGCUUCCUCCAUGAACAAGUAGCUGAGCUGAGCUUGUAAAGAGAAUUCCCAAAAGUACAGUGACUAUAAGAAGAUGAAAAAAAGGCAAGUCUGAAGUGUCUGAAGGAAAUGCAUGAUGAGUAUGAUGGUGCAUCCCAGUUUCUCUCUCACAAUCUCAGUAUCAUCUGAGAAACAUUCCUUAGGCCUUGACCUUGGUGGAGCAGCAUCUGGGCUGAGCUUGUCAGAAACACUGUCUGCUCCCAGGAACUAGAGCUUUCUAAUGAGCUCCUGCUUUUUUAUCAAACAGCAUUGGGAAUUUAUUUUCCUUGCCUGGAAAACAACCCAACGGAAAUAAUAUUUUCAUUAUCAAAUUUUCAAAGAAAGUUACUGACCCAAAUGGCAGUCAGGAUGGAAAAUUACUCUGACUGAAGUCAACUCUCUUGCAACCCUAUAUACAGCAGUCCAAAGUGAGACCCUUGGAGCUCUCCUGGACUGCAGCAGCUGCAAACAGCAAAAUCCCUCUGAGUGGGGCCUCUAAGAGCCAGCAAACUCUGAAGUUUGCUGAACCUGAAGUUUGCUAAACUCAGGACAGCUGAAGGAUGUGGCUGAUAUCCCCACAUGUGAAGGCUCAACCCUUCACCCAUUGAGAAGAUGCAAAGGCAGGCAUGAGUAAUUCACUGAAUUCAAGGGGAAUUUUUCACAGCUAUACCUUGUUCUUCAUGUCUGUGUACAUGCAAGUGUGAAUAUGCUAUAGCAAAUGUACUAGGAAUGUUGCUCUCUUAGAUUCUUAAGUACUUCAGAUUUGUAAGCAAGUGAGGCCUAUAAGUUACUGUUGUGGUAUCAUAAAUUUUAUAUGAAUCCUUUGUCAAGUUGUUUAACUUAAAGUUAUCGAUUAAGUGAUGUUAGGUGCUGUUAAGGGCUGUUAAGGUUAAGUGCUAAAUGCUGUUAAGUGCUCUUAAGAUUAAGUGCUGUUGGGCCCUUAGGCAAUACCUGUUGGUCAAGUUCAGGCUCAGUUGAGCUCUGGAAUAGGAAGGUCUUCCGUAUUCCUUUUUAUCCUUACCCUUCCUCAUCCUUUUCUCACCACCCUCACCCCUCCCUCAGCCUGUACAUAGAUCAUUUUGGGUUUAUUUCAGUUUGGAUUGAUUGAUUUUGUAUUUUUGUUUGCUGUUUCUCUGUGUGCUUUAACCACCUGGUAAAUAAUAGAGUGAAAACUUGCCAACAAACUUUGUCAUUGUUUUGCUUUUAUAUUAGACCUGGUUUUGCCAAUAUUUCUCUUUUGAAGGUGAUUCUUUCAGUAAUUUUAAAACAGUUAUUUGCAACACAGAGGGACAACGAAGAGCCAGGAAAAGGAGGCCUCUUCUGUUUUAUCAUCUACAGCAACCUUUCCAUCUGUUCUCUAUUUCAACAGUCUGAGUUUUGAUGUGAAGAAUCGUAAAAUCAUUAAAUGGUUUGUGUUGUAAGGGACUUUGAAAGAUCACCUAGGUUCAGCAUCUCAUCUUGCACUGGGUCAGCUUGAUCAAAGCCCCAUCCAACCUGACUUUAAACACUUCCAGUGAUGGAGCAUUCACAGCUUCUCUGGAUAACUUGUUCCAGCAUCUCACCAUCACUGUAAAAUAAUUUCUUCUUUAUGUCUAAUUUAAAUUUACCCUUUUUUAGUUUCAAACCCUUGCCUUUUGUCCUGUCACUAAACUCCUAGUAAAAAGCCCAUCUCUGUUUUUCAAAUAAACCCCCUUUAAGUAUGGAAAUGCA